GAUGAACGCUGGCGGCGUGCCUAAUACAUGCAAGUCGAGCGAAUGGAUUAAGAGCUUGCUCUUAUGAAGUUAGCGGCGGACGGGUGAGUAACACGUGAGUAACCUGCCCAUAAGACUGGGAUAACUCCGGGAAACCGGGGCUAAUACCGGAUAACAUUUUGAACAGCAUGGUUCGAAAUUGAAAGGCGGCUUCGGCUGUCGCUUAUGGAUGGACCCGCGUCCCAUUAGCUAGUUGGUGUGGUAACGGCUCACCAAGGCAACGAUGCGUAGCCGACCUGAGAGGGUGAUCGGCCACACUGGGACUGAGACACGGCCCAGACUCCUACGGGAGGCAGCAGUAGGGAAUCUUCCGCAAUGGACGAAAGUCUGACGGAGCAACGCCGCGUGAGUGAUGAAGGCUUUCGGGUCGUAAAACUCUGUUGUUAGGGGAGAACAAGUGCUAGUUGAAUAAGCUGGCACCUUGACGGUACCUAACCAGAAAGCCACGGCUAACUACGUGCCAGCAGCCGCCGUAA
rnacentral:rRNA from 1 species